UACGAAGGGGGCUAGCGUUGCUCGGAAUCACUGGGCGUAAAGGGUGCGUAGGCGGGUCUUUAAGUCAGGGGUGAAAUCCUGGAGCUCAACUCCAGAACUGCCUUUGAUACUGAGGAUCUUGAGUUCGGGAGAGGUGAGUGGAACUGCGAGUGUAGAGGUGAAAUUCGUAGAUAUUCGCAAGAACACCAGUGGCGAAGGCGUCUCACUGGCCCGAUACUGACGCUGAGGCACGAAAGCGUGGGGAGCAAACAGG
rnacentral:rRNA from 1 species